rnacentral:misc_RNA from 1 species
UGGGGUGCGCGCGCGCCGCCAGUCACUCGUUGGUCGCGCGGCUCGCGCCCGCCUCUCGUGAUAGAUCCCAACGGAAGCAAGCGGCCAGUGCGGCGCACUCGUGCUUUCGUACGUUCAACCUUUGGUGCCCAAAUGUAAUUGGCAUUAAUAAAGUGACGUGUUGUGAUGUGUGUGACGCUACCCUCCUUUUUUGUAUAGCUGAGGUUUCGUGUAUCUUUUAUUUUUGCCAAUCACAUUGACUUUUUACUAACCGCAUGUACCGUACUUGCUUUUUUUCUCAACUGUUCUGGAUUUUGACUUGAAGUCUGUGCCUGAACCCCCCACGGCCUUGGUACUUCUGACCCCUCAAGAAAGUGACGCUUGUGACAAGUGGACUUAAGUGUAUAAUGUUUUGGAUUUGACACCUACUUCACCGCUGCCCACGAUAUUACUGCAAUAUUUCAGACAGCGCGACAGGGUGGCGGCAUCUAAGUAUGGUGGUGGCGGGGUCUCUCUCGGCUCUGGCGUCGCGGUGAGGCGCGGCAUGAAGUGCGCGGGCGUCGCGGGCGGCGGCCCUGGCGGCAACGAGCUGCUGCUCGGCGCCUGCUGGCUCGACCCCAAGAUCGAGGCCUCUUCUCCGCCCUGCCACGAGCUCCUCGACUCUCUCCUCGCCCCCCCACCCCUCGCGGAACUCAAACCCCUCCCGCCCUUCACCGGCUAUACGGGACACCUCUCCAUCAACGGCA